rnacentral:rRNA from 1 species
UGCCGCUUGCGAGGGCGUAUGGUGGAUGCCUUGGCAGACAGUACCGAUGAAGGACGUUUGAGGAUGCGAUAAUCCUAGGGGAGCCUCCAACAUGGCUUUGAUCCUAGGGUCUCCGAAUGGGGGAACCCGCCGGCCGUCAUGGGCCGGCACCGCCUAUGGGCGGGGGGUACGCAGGGAAGUGAAACAUCUCAGUACCUGCAGGAAGGGAUACUCCGUGAGUAGUGGCGAGCGAAAGCGGAGCAGACCAACCCGGUUGCGCGUGAUUCCCGUCGGGGGUUGCGUUGCCGGUGUCGUGGGAUCACGUGUCCCGGUUCCGACGGGCCGGGCGGGAGUCAUAAAACGGCUUGCCAGGGGAACAGGCUUGAAGGCCUGGCCGUAGAGGGUGCCAGCCCCGUACCUGGACGUGAGCCGUCUUCCGAUCGUGUUGUCCCAAGUAGCGCGGGCCUCGUGGAAUCCCGCGUGAAUCAGCCCAGACCGUUGGGUAAGUCUAAGCAUACCUGUCUGACCGAUAGCGUACCAGUACCGUGAGGGAAAGGUGAAAAGCACCCCGGGAGGGGAGUGAAACAGUUCCUGAAACCGUGCGCCCACAAACCGUCGGAGCCUCUGUGUGGGGUGACGGCGUGCCUAUCGAAAAAUGAGUCUGCGAGUCAGUGGCGGGUGGCGAGCAUAAGCCGUGUGGCGUAUGCGUAGCGAAAGCGAGUCUUAAAAGGCGUUUUUAGUCGCUUGUCCUGGACCCGAAGCGGGAUGAUCUAGCCCUGGGCAGGUUGAAGCGCGGGUAAGACCGCGUGGAGGACCGAACCCACCUGGGUUGAAAACCGGGGGGAUGACCUGGGGCUAGGGGUGAAAGGCCAAUCAAAUUCCGUGAUAGCUGGUUCUCUCCGAAAUGCAUUUGGGUGCAGCGUCGGGUCAUUACGUCCCGGGGGUAGAGCUACUGGAUGCUUGCGGGCCCGUAUCGGGUACCAACAGCAACCAAACUCCGAAUACCGGUGACGCGUAUCCCGGCAGUGAGUCGGCGGGGGAUAAGCUUCGUCGUCGAAAGGGAAACAGCCCAGACCGUCGUCUAAGGUCCCGAAGCGUGUGCUAAGUGGGAAAGGAUGUGGAGUCGCAUAGACAGCCAGGAGGUUGGCUCAGAAGCAGCCACCCUUGAAAGAGUGCGUAACAGCUCACUGGUCUAGUGGUUCCGCGCCGACAAUGUAGCGGGGCUCAAGCACACCACCGAAGACGCGGCAGUAUUUUGUACUGGGUAGGAGAGCGUCCCAUGAGGGGCGAAGCGGCCGUGUGAACGCGCCGUGGACUUCAUGGGAGUGAGAAUGCAGACAUGAGUAGCGAGAGACGGGUGAAGAUCCCGUCCGCUGGAUGACCAAGGGUUCCAGGGCCACGUUCAUCGUCCCUGGGUGAGUCGGGUCCUAAGGCGAGGCCGACAGGCGUAGUCGAAUGGAUGAACGGGUCGAUAUUCCCGUACCGGCUUUCAGCCGCCAAAACCGAGGCUUGGAGUACUAACCUCCGGGUCCGGGCUUACUGCUCCUUCGGGGGCGGGAUGCCCUGGCCUGUUGGGACCGAUCCUUGUAGUAGGUCAGCGCAGGAGUGACGCAGAAGGGUAGCCGGCCGCGGAGGUGGUCUUCCGUGGUCAAGCACGCAGGGCGUGGGACAGGCAAAUCCGUCCCGCAUGGGUCCGAGGUGCGAUGAUGGGGGCCUUAUGGCCCGAUAUCCGGUGAUCCCGGCUGCCGAGAAAAGCUUCGGCGUCAGGCUCAAAGCCGCCCGUACCCCAAACCGACACUGGUGGUCAGGUAGAGAAUACCAAAGCGAUCGAGCGAAUCCUGGUCAAGGAACUCGGCAAAUCACUCCCGUUCCUUCGGUUUAAGGGAGACCCCCGAUGGUGAACACACUUGCUGUGGGAGCUUUUGGGGGUGGCACAGACCAGGGGGUAGCGACUGUUUACCAAAAACACAGGUGCAUGCGAAGGCGCAAGCCGCUGUAUAUGCACUGACGCCUGCCCGGUGCCGGAAGGUUAAGAGGAUCCGUCAGCCUUCGGGUGAAGCGGUGAAUUCAAGCCCCGGUAAACGGCGGUGGUAACUAUAACCAUCCUAAGGUAGCGAAAUUCCUUGUCGGGUAAGUUCCGACCUGCACGAAUGGCGUA